CUCUCAAAAUAAUCCAGUCCUGUGCCCGUGAAAGGUCAGUCAGAGAAAAAGCAUUAAUCUCUUUGUGAUGGCGCUUCCCCCAUGACCUAAACACCUCCCUUGAGGCUCCGCCUCUUAGCUCAGCUGCCGUGGUAACCACACUCCAACAUGAGUGUCCCAGCUGACAAACCACAGUCCAAUCAUAGGACCUUCAUUUUCUAACACUACUGUAGGCAGCCUGAACUCUCAAGGUUAUGUGGUCAGUCCUGGGACAGAGGCAGGUGUGAGCCCAGGCAAUCUGACUCCAGCACCUCGGCUUUGGGCCUCACACUGAGGCAGUAAAGAGGGACUCUCGGAGCCAAACUUCUCUCUUACUUGCUGUGAAAUCAUGGAUCGCAGCAUUGGGUCUUCCUGGAUGUCACACAAACACCUUUGCCAGCCCAGCACAGGGUCCCUGCCCUCAGCAGUGUAGUGAGUAGGCAUCUGCAGACACCUCUGAUGAUUCAUUCUUGGCCUCGCUCUCCAGAGCAUCAUCAGCAGGGCAUUUUCUGGCUCCAGGGAGGAAGUGUGGCUAGCAAGAGAAGAGCAGGAGGGCCAGUCCUUCCUCAGCCUGCUGAGUCAGACCCCUGACGCUUAAAGAAACAAGAAACACAGGCUCCCUCUGCUCCCUCUCUCAUCUGGUAUUCCAGAUCCCUUCAAGGCAUCUUGUUCUUCCAGGAGCUGCUGAGAAGGUGUGAUUCAUUUCAGGCAGAGUCCCCUGAACCCAAAGUACUGAGCCUCC
rnacentral:lncRNA from 1 species